UCCACAUGGAUGCUGGCCCAUGUUGACUCUACAAGGUGUUGAAAGUGUUCCACAGGGAUGCUGGCCCAUGUUGACUCUACAAGGUGUUGAAAGUGUUCCACAGGGAUGCUGGCCCAUGUUGACUCUACAAGGUGUUGAAAGUGUUCCACAGGGAUGCUGGCCCAUGUUGACUCUACAAGGUGUUGAAAGUGUUCCACAGGGAUGCUGGCCCAUGUUGACUCUACAAGGUGUCGAAAGCGUUCCACAGGGAUGCUGGCCCAUGUUGACUCUACAAGGUGUCGAAAGCGUUCCACAGGGAUGCUGGUCCAUGUUGACUCUACAAGGUGUCGAAAGCGUUCCACAGGGAUGCUGGCCCAUGUUGACUCUACAAGGUGU